UGGCCGAGCGGUAAAGCGCCUGGCUUCUGAACCGGUGAUCCCGGGUUCGAAUCCUGG
rnacentral:tRNA from 1 species